ACUGUUAGCAGCAUAGGAUUGAGGAGUUGGAAGAGACCUUUAACACAGCUGGUCAUUAUGCCGACCGGGUGUCCGCGCUAAGUUCGGUAUCAAUAUGGUGACCUCCUGGGAGCAGGAGGCCAUCAGGUUGCCUAAAGACGGGAGAACUGGCCCAGAUCAGAAAGGGACCAGGUCAGGACUCCGGCACCAAUCGGUAGUGGGACUGUGCCUGGGCAAUAUAGCAAGAUCUUGGUUCUU
rnacentral:SRP_RNA from 10 species